rnacentral:rRNA from 1 species
UACGUAGGCAGCAAGCGUUGUCCGGAAUUAUUGGGCGUAAAGAGCUUGUAGGCGGUUUGUCGCGUCUGCUGUGAAAUUUCGGGGCUCAACCCCGAACUUGCAGUGGGUACGGGCAGACUAGAGUGUGGUAGGGGAGACUGGAAUUCCUGGUGUAGCGGUGAAAUGCGCAGAUAUCAGGAGGAACACCGAUGGCGAAGGCAGGUCUCUGGGCCGAUACUGACGCUGAGAAGCGAAAGCAUGGGGAGCGAACAGG